AUCGCAUGAUGCAGUGUGAAAAACUCCGGUGGUAUAAGAUGGACCCGCGUUGGAUUAGCUAGUUGGUGAGGUAACGGCCCACCAAGGCGACGAUCCAUAGCCGACCUGAGAGGGUGACCGGCCACAUUGGGACUGAGACACGGCCCAAACUCCUACGGGAGGCAGCAGUGGGGAAUAUUGCACAAUGGGCGAAAGCCUGAUGCAGCGACGCCGCGUGAGCGAAGAAGUAUUUCGGUAUGUAAAGCUCUAUCAGCAGGGAAGAUAAUGACGGUACCUGACUAAGAAGCACCGGCUAAAUACGUGCCAGCAGCCGCGGUAAUACGUAUGGUGCAAGCGUUAUCCGGAUUUACUGGGUGUAAAGGGAGCGCAGGCGGUGCGGCAAGUCUGAUGUGAAAGCCCGGGGCUCAACCCCGGUACUGCAUUGGAAACUGUCGUACUAGAGUGUCGGAGGGGUAAGCGGAAUUCCUAGUGUAGCGGUGAAAUGCGUAGAUAUUAGGAGGAACACCAGUGGCGAAGGCGGCUUACUGGACGAUAACUGACGCUGAGGCUCGAAAGCGUGGGGAGCAAACAGGAUUAGAUACCCUGGUAGUCCACGCCGUA
rnacentral:rRNA from 1 species